AGAGUUUGAUCCUGGCUCAGGAUGAACGCUAGCUACAGGCUUAAUACAUGCAAGUCGAGGGGAAACGACAUCGAAAGCUUGCUUUUGAUGGGCGUCGACCGGCGCACGGGUGAGUAACGCGUAUCCAACCUGCCCACCACUUGGGGAUAACCUUGCGAAAGUAAGACUAAUACCCAAUGACGUCUCUAGAAGACAUCUGAAGGAGAUUAAAGAUUUAUCGGUGAUGGAUGGGGAUGCGUCUGAUUAGCUUGUUGGCGGGGUAACGGCCCACCAAGGCGACGAUCAGUAGGGGUUCUGGAGAGGAACGGUCCCCANAUUGGAACUGAGACACGGUCCAAACGUCCUACGGGAGCA
rnacentral:rRNA from 1 species